CAAAGCACCAGUUCCUGUAUGAUCACCAAAAGUUAAGCAACAUUGAGCCUGGGUAGUACCUAGAUGGGUGACCAUUUGGAUGUGUGGGUGGUGUAA